rnacentral:tRNA from 1 species
CGGGGCGUAGCGCAGUCCGGUAGCGCGUCUGGUUUGGGACCAGAAGGUCCCGGGUUCAAAUCCCGGCGCCCCGACUA